ensembl:lincRNA
CGCGCAUGCGCCCGAGCCCCGCCCUGAGCUCGCCGCCCCAGGGAAGCUUCUGGCCCCUUGUCCCCCACACUACCGGCAGGAGGGACAGCGGGGAGACCUGGACGGGGAGAAGUUGUCGCGAGGAAGGUGGUGGAGAGCCGCGCAGAGACGCUCACUGCGUGAAGGCCUGCAAGAAAGGAGUGCACCACUUAGAAGUCCAGAGAUCCCAUAAGGAGAUAUCUCCUCAAGGAAGCUUCUCUUGGGACUUGCAAACUGAAUUUGCUGUGAGAAAAGAGGACCGUUACAAGGCCCCAGUGGCCCUCCUAUCACCAGUCAUGUUCCCUGGGAGAAGGGCCUGCGUGACACUGCCACAGUGACCUACAGAUGACAAAAUGCUACCAGGCACCCUCUACCGAGACGAGAACACAGCUUCCAUUCACCACAUUGAGAGUGGAAUUUAAGCCUUGCCAACUGCUGAUCGAAGUUCUGUGGUUAUUUAGGGGGAAAUAUUUAGAGAUCAUACUUUUAAAAUUAAACAAUGAAUCUGUAGGAAAUUACAUUGCCAAAGCUAGCAUAUAAAUAUAGUGGCUUAAUUCAUAAUCACUAAACAGAAGUGACACAAUGUAUUUCAUCAGUGAAUCAGUAAACUGGCAGAACCACACACUGGAAUACUACACACAUUACAAGCUACAAAGAGACACCAAGGAGUCUUAAAGGCAUAUUGCUAAGUGAAAAAAGUCAAUCUGAAAAGGCUAAAUACUGUAUUAUAUGAAUCUAUUUAUAUGACAUUCUAGAAAAUAUAAAAUUAUAGCAAUGGGAAAUGUAUUAGUGGUUGCCAAGGGAUCCAUAGGCACAAGAUAAGGAAUGCCUAGAAGAUUACUAAAGCCUGCACCUGAGUGUGUCUGGGUGUGUUGUGGCAGCAUGACCCUGAGUACCAUAUUUGGUCUCUGGUCUCUUCCUCUCUGGUGCUGUUCCCUUGCUCUGAUUCUCAGCCACCAUGAGCAGCUUUGCUUUUCCAAGACCUGACUUCAUGCUGUUUUUGCUUUGGGACCAUUUGGUUACAGACUGAAUAAGUGAGCCAACUGACCCUUUGCUUCCUUCAGUUGUGAGUGUCAGGUACGAUAUUCAGCAGUGGGAAAGCUGACUAUUAUAGUAGCCCUACCGAACUCAGACAAUAGCACUAUGAAUUUGUCGAAACUCAUACAACUUUACAGCACAAAGAGUGAGUCUUGAUACAUGCUGUUACGGCUUGUGUCUAGAUGUCCCCCCAAAGCCUCCUGCAGUCAUAGGUGGGACUUUUUCAGAGGCAGCUGGAUCUGGAGUGUGUAAAUUAUUCAUGGCGCAAUGCUAGAAUCAAGGGUGUUAGGAUUAAGGGUGGGUGAUUACUAAAUCAGUCCACUGAUUGGUCUGGCACUGCCCUAAUCCCAGUAGCCUGAAUAUGAUAUGAAGGACAGAGAGAGGCUUAUCUUGUCUCUUUUCUUGCUUGCUCUCACCUGCCUAGUUGGCCUGGACGACUUCUCUACAAUCCCCCUCUGGCAUGCCAUCCUGCCUUGGAGCCAGCUGAUUAUGGUCUAAAACCUCUACAAACUGUAAGCCAAAAUAAACCUUUCCUCCUUUAACUUUGGGUGCCGGGAGUAUUUUGUCUCAGCAAUGAGAACAGUAACUAAGACACAUGCAAAUUUAAAUAAUAUUUAAGAAGUGGACAACUACAGUACAGAAUGUAGAAUGUCAGCAAAAAGAAAAAAAAAACACUCUAAAUGUAUUGCACUGCUAUUCACAACUGUCCAGGAAACAGAUGGAAUGAGAUUAUGGAUUCAAUAAUGGGGGAAAUGAGUGGCAUCUGUGAGACUCAAGGUCAGUGACACAACAACUAAACACUACAUUCUAAUUGAAAAAAAUGUUCCCUAUAAGGGUACGGGAGUAGGUUAGACAAAUCUGAAUCUGCUAUGCUUGAAUACUGAAAGAAAACAAUUAAUUAAAUGGGGAGUGGAAGGCAGGUGGGAUCCAGGGUUCUCAGUGAUGCCCUGGGAGGCUGUAGAUAAUCCCGAAGAGGGGGUCAGAAUGAUCUUUUUAGAAACAGUUAACAAUUGGAGACAUUAGUAUAAAGUCACAUUGAAUGAAUCUGAUAUAGAAACAGAAGUUUCCAUAUAUAAACAGUUAUAGAUCUGUGCAUAUGCAAUGUUGAAUACACAUGUAUAUUCCUUGUGGAAUCAGUAGAGAAGCCUGCUAGCUGACAGUGCCCCAGUUGGAAUGUACACUGGUAGCAGCCAGAUGUAGAAUGAAUAGAGUGGAAUAGAAGGAAACAGACUUCUUUGAGGAAAUGGCUACCUUUAGGACUAGGGAAGGCCAUACACAAGAUGAACCUGGAGAAGCACCAUGUAGCCCCAGAAACUAAGGGCUAAAGAAUAUGUUAAAAGACACUUCUGUAUUGCAUUCAGCAACAUCCAGAGUUUGGAUGGAAUUCAAGGUUUGCUCUUAAAAAUAAAACCUAAGUCCCACAUGUGUAAAUACCAAAUAGUUUCCCUGGUGUGAAUAUUCUGCAACAAUGCAUAAGAUUCUAAUAAGAUUACUGACAUUUAGAAAUGGGAGGAAAGGAGCUAAAGGUGUAGGGAAGGUGUGAUACGUAGGGGAAGAACAAAAAGGGAAAAGAAAAAAAUGUGAGAGAAUGAAAAGAUGAAAAUAAAGUGUUUGUAGAUGGGGAGGGGAGGAGGGGGUGAAGGGAGGGCAGAGGUAAGGGGAAAAAAAUGAGAAUCAAGACUUGCCAUGUAAAGGUACAUGAUCCCAACAAUGAAUGUAACUGUACUGUAUCCCUAAAUGUACCAAUAAACUCAAUAAAAAAAAAAAAUAAAAAAAUAAAACCUAAACAUGAUAUUGCAAAGGAAAAAGAGGAAAUUGGCAGAUUAUGAUUUACAGGACAUAACAAAAAUUAUGGGUAUAUUCACAUAUGCAUUCAAAGAAACUACUUCCAAAAGUAUAUAAAAUAGUUGUAUAUUUAAUGAUAAUUUAUGCACUUUUUAGAAAUGAUAACACUACAAGGCUUAUUUUUAAAAAGCCCUUAACUUUUAGAAAUGUGUGUUGAGACACUGAGAGAUUAAAUAGUGGGAUGCUUUUGAUUUGCGCUGCAUUCUUCCAGUGGCUGUGAUGUAGGUAGGUGGGGAGACUCCGUGAAACCAGGUUUAUAAAUGCAAAUGUAUUUUAGAAAUAUGUACAUAAGGUACACAUCCAUUCUGUACAUAUAAUAUAUGCAGCUAAACAUGCACACAUAUAAUUGUGUACCUGUAUAUAAGGGUAGUCUACAUGGACCCUUUAUACAUUUGCUCUUUCUAUCUAUAUGAAGUCCACACAUUCAUUUGGUAGAGAGGUUAAACAGCUUCCUGAGUCUAAGUGAGCAUUGCAAGGUGACAAUCACACUCCGGACUAUGAAAAGUUGGCUCACAUCAAUCCCCUGCUGCUGCUCCCCCUCUUCUCACUCAACAUCAAUCUUUUAGAAGGGUUGGGAGAUCUCCCACCAGCUGGUGAGGAGACCUCAUAGGAGAAUGUGGUUGUCCUUAAUGAGGUCACCGUAGAGCCUCGGUGCAACAGGACACACUCAGAUAAACAGGGGUGGGGGUUCUGGUUUUGCUAAGAACAAAAGUGAGGACCCAGAAGAAGGAAGGAGGGUACCCCCAAUUAGAGAAGCGCCAAGGAGAACAUUUCUGCCCCUGGUAUCAGGUUGGUGAGCCCCAGGUGUAUGGACUGGAUGUGCAAUCUCCCAAGUUCCACAGGUGAGGGUCUGAGAAAGGUGAGAACCUUGUCACAUAGUCAGGGGCCUUGGACUCCACAACUAUGAGUACUGUACUUUUAGAAUGUGGCCCUGGCUGGAAGGCCAGGGAAACCCCAUGGUAGGUAUUUUCUAAUUUUUUCAGGUUUUAGGACUCC